rnacentral:rRNA from 1 species
GACGAACGCUGGCGGCGUACCUAAUACAUGCAAGUCGAGCGGGCCUCCGGAGGUGCUUGCACCUCCGGAAGGCCAGCGGCGGACGGGUGAGUAACACGUGGGCAACCUGCCUUUGAGGCCGGGAUAACACCGGGAAACCGGUGCUAAUACCGGAUACGUCCUCUUUCGCGCCUGCGAGAGGGGAGAAAGACGGUCUUGAAGGCCGUCGCUCAAAGAGGGGCCCGCGGCGCAUUAGCUGGUUGGUGGGGUAAGGGCCUACCAAGGCGACGAUGCGUUGCCGACCUGAGAGGGUGAUCGGCCACACUGGGACUGAGACACGGCCCAGACUCCUGCGGGAGGCAGCAGUAGGGAAUCAUCCGCAAUGGGCGAAAGCCUGACGGUGCAACGCCGCGUGAGUGAGGAAGGUUUUCGGAUCGUAAAGCUCUGUUGUGAGGGAAGAACAGCUUCCGGAGGAAAUGCCGGAGGUUUGCCGGUACCUCACCAGAAAGCCCCGGCUAACUUCGUGCCAGCCGCCGCCGUAAGAC